UACGUAGGGUGCGAGCGUUAAUCGGAAUUACUGGGCGUAAAGCGUGCGCAGGCGGUUUGUUAAGCCAGAUGUGAAAGCCCCGGGCUCAACCUGGGAACUGCGUUUGGUACUGGCAAGCUAGAGUACGGCAGAGGGGGGUGGAAUUCCACGUGUAGCAGUGAAAUGCGUAGAGAUGUGGAGGAACACCGAUGGCGAAGGCAGCCCCCUGGGCCGAUACUGACGCUCAGGCACGAAGGCGUGGGGAGCAAACAGG
rnacentral:rRNA from 1 species